rnacentral:lncRNA from 1 species
UAUGACAAGUGAAACCACACAUUUUUAUAAUAAAAAUAGAAGAUGCAUGCAUCAAGGCUCGUUAAGAAAAUAUUGCCUACAAUAUAAUGACUUGAGAUAAAGUAUAGUAGUAUGUUGUAAGCUGGCUAAAUGUUAAGAUGUGGAAGAGAAGAGAUUAAAGAGGAAAAAAAGGAGAAGUGGGCUAUAAGUUUAUAAUCGACUUAGACACAAGAACUAAGAAACUUUAUGUGAGACAAACAAGUCAUGUAUUAAUAUAAAGAACUAACUACUAUAUGGGUGAACUAAAAGAAAGCUAUAAAUAAAUUUUACAUAGCCAGCAUACGGCUAUAUUAUUAGUCUUGCUCUGAUGAGGCUAGAGGUCGGAGACAUCAUAUUAAUUUAUUCGUUAUCCAAACGAUCGAGCCUUGAUGCAGACUCUAUCAUAGAGUCUAAAGUUAUUUAUUACCUCGAACAAUGUGGACUUAGAGUCUAAAUAAGACUUGGAGUCUUAUUUUUUCUACCUCUUUCUUCAAUAAAUAUGCUGCCACAUCAGCAAAAUACUAUAAAUAAUAUGUAAUUAAUUGUCUUAGACUCUGUAAUAGAGUCUUGCAUUGUGAGUGCUCUAAGCACGAAAUAAUGUAGGAUCUUCAUAUUAAUUACCCCUAUACCUCUAGCAGUCUAGCUAUAGAGCUAGCUAGAAUCUUGCGAUCAUCAAACUAGCUACCACGCCAUUGCAUCGCAUGAUGUAACAGUAACAGUGACAGUGAUAGUAAUAGUAACAGUAAAUUGGUUAGACAGUACUUUUUUUAUACACCAUGUACGUACCUGUAUACGCCAUUGCAUCGCAUGAUGUAACAGUAACAGUGACAGUGAUAGUAAUAGUAACAGUAAAUUGGUUAGACAGUACUUUUUUUAUACACCAUGUACGUACCUGUAUGAUCGCCACUUGAAUCCAGCAUUAUAGAUUUGUUCUUGUUGUGAGACGUCCAAUCUAGCGUCCCUCGUUUUCCCUAUGGAUUUUAUAUUAGGAUCGGAUAUCCCACACUUUUUCGCUGGUCUGAAAAGCCAUGGCUGAAAAUACUGUUCGUUGAUUUAUCGUGAGAGAAAAAUACUAUUGGUUAGCAAAAAAAGUACGGCUUAUAAGACAAGUGAACGGGAUCUGCAGAGUACUCAAGCUAAGCGUGUCUGCAAACCGUUUAUCAUCACAUUGGGCCUAAAAAACAAAUUUGUCUAGUAGAGCCUCUAUUUGUAUUGGGCCUAAAAACAAAACUGAGAGCCAGAAGCAAAAAAAAUAAAAAUAAAAAAGAAGUCAAACAUAGUCCCUACAAAUUAAGGCCUUCAAAUUUGAGAGGCCCCUCAAAUCACCCUCUGUUCCACCCCUCAUUCCCGAAGCCCUGCUUCAACUCUAGAAUGAUGGUUAGUCAUAUGCCUUCCGGUUCUCGCCCGUCCACCCUUGACGCCUGCCCACCUCCUCCACCAUCCCCAGUGAGCCCCCACCCUUGGCGUGACUCGCUUGAUGGAGCAACUCCCUUCACUCGGCGCCUCCCUUCACCCAACGGAUCUCCCUUGGUCAGCCCAUCCACGACGACAUCUCUCCCUACAUGGUUCCCCUUGCAAGGCCCGCCCCUCAAUCGACGAUGUUGUCCUUGGCUUCUCUUCAAAACAAGGUCCCCUUACCCCACCACAUCUCGGCUCUUCUCCCCAAUUACUUAAAUCCAGGGCAAGGUCCUAGUGGCCAUACUGGUCCUCCAAUCAAAAGCAUGGCCUCUAAUUUGAGAGCUCCUGUUUUUGAAGUUGUUCUUAUACAUUGAAGUAUAGGUCCACAAUUUUGCAUCAGAUUUCUUUUAAGAAACAAAGAGCAAAGAGGCAGAGAAGCUACAACUACUGGUUUUUAUAAUUAUAUCUAUGAAUAGACUUUUAAUAUGCAUUAUUCAACAUCUCUAUCAUCAGGUGUGGACCCAAAAGCUAAGACUUUGCUAGGCUAUGGAGUUUAUUCUCAUUUUCAAUGAGGUUCCACAUAAUUAAUAAACACGAGUUUGAUGACAUUAUGUUAAAUUAUUUAAGUUAUGAAGAAAGAUGGAGAGGUUUUAUCUAGAAAGAAACCGUACUGGAUGUAUGCAUUUUCUAAAACAUAGAAACUAAUCACUAAUACUGAAAGAAAAAUGUUUUAUUUCGCAAGGACAAUCAUCCCAUCCUGCGUGCCCUCACACAUUUUCACAUUGUCCAGAAUAAAUGCAUGGUUUAUGAGAGCAUCUAGCUAGCUAUACGUACGGACCUGCCCAGUCGCAUACGAAGUACAAACAUGAUCAUUGCGUGCGACCACGCACCCCCGAAAAUGGCUUCCAUUUCUUAAGAGAGGUCAGCCUCUACUAGUUUAUUUACAGAGGCAGUCGUUUAUAGUAUGCCUCGGUAAAUGGGCCGACCGCCUCUGAAAAUCUUGUGCAUUUUAGGAGACAAGCACAUUUUAUGCCCGCCUCCAUUAAUUGACGGCCUUGUCUCCUAAUACCUAAAUUGUAGUAGUAUGCCUAGCUAACCAACAGCC